rfam:Oryza glaberrima chromosome 4 Oglab04_unplaced102_2, whole genome shotgun sequence.
AACCACACUAUCAAUGAAUGGAUUCACCCACAAGAUGACGUGGUUGUUUCACUAGGACGAGGAUGUGGCAUCAUAUUACCAGCCAUCGCACGAAAUUAAUAGGAUGUCACGUCUUCAUCCUAGAUGGAACAACCACGUCAUCUUACGGGUGAAUCCAUUCAUUGAUAAUGUGGUU